GUGCUUGCUACGGCUGCACAUAUACUAAAAUUGGAUCGAUACAGAGAAGAUUAGCAUGGCCCCUACAGAGAAGAUUAGCAUGGCCCCUGCGAAAGGAUGACACGCAAAUCCGUGAAGCGUUCCAUAUUUUG
ensembl:snRNA U6 U6 spliceosomal RNA